AACAUGGGGGAGGCGGGGUUUAUGACCUAUACUGCAGCCAGACACCAGGGGGCGAUAGAGACGUUUUGGCUUCAUUUUUGGGGAGCUGUCGCGUCGUGGGGGCUGGGUCCCCUCCCCUGUUGCUAUUUACCGGGCCCCUCCCAUGGCUCCCUCCCAUGGUCUUGCCUCUGGGCCUUGCCUCUGAGGACGUUGACACUGUGUCCAUCCUCUCCUCUGGCGGCUCUCACCUGUCCCCGGGACAGCCCCCUGCUGGCUGCCCAGGCACAGUGUCUGGCCGGUUGAGUUUAUCAGCUCUUGGUUAGAGCAUGCCAGGUACUGGGACGGGCCCUUCCUGAGGUCUAAGGAGCUUGGAAAGAAAAGCGUCUGGACUUCUUUAAGUUACUUGAAGACGUUUCACCUCUCCUCCGAGAAGCUUCUUCAGUUCUAGGGUCAAAUGGUGGAUAGUCCCAGAACAGUAAUGGCUACAGCAAGAACACUCUACAAGUACACAAACUCUGUGUAAACAAUUUUGGUAUCAGACACUCGUUAGAUUUAAUCAAGGUGUAACUAUUACAGCAGAUAUUACUGCACCCUAAAAAAUUAUUCAGGGGCUUAGUAAAUAUCAUUAUAAUUCUAAGUUAGAUGACCUUGAUUAAAUCUUUGAAAAUCACAAAAGUGUUAUCUUGAGUUGAAAAUACUGAAAAGAAUGCUUAAAUUUUCAACACCAGUUUUUGAGUUGAACUGAGCUCUUUUGGUCAAGUUUAUUUAAAAGAAAAAAUUCUGUAUUUGAAACACAGGGUGCAUUAUUUAAAUCUACUCAAUAUAUCUCAUAGAAAGUACUCAAAAUAACUGAGACACUGGUAUUCAUACUUAUCAUUGUCUUGAACUUUAAUUAUUAAUGGUUCAAAAUCAAUAUAAUUUUGUCCCCCAGUACUAACUUAAAACUUUGAGUAAGACUAAUGACCUUUGGCAUGUACCGCACGCGAGGAGCAUGGCCUCAUGGGAGAUUUUCUGCACGUUGAACGAGACAGACACACAUCCACUGCAGACUUGGUAACGUUUUCAGCACCAUCUUCACCACCAGGAGAAAAAAAUCUGCAUCAACUACAAAGUAAAGCAGGUCACAGGUGAUGAGAUGGCAGUGUAAACUCUGCAAACAUGAGGAGUCAUCAAAAGUGUCACUACUCAAACAUUAUCGAGUGAAACAUGGUACAUUUGGUCAUGGCUAUUCCAUACCCUGUCUUCAUUUGAAUUGUCCUUGCUCUUUUAAGACAUGGGGUGCCUUACGCUCACACUUGUCUAGGUCUCACAGUUCGCAUGAAACGGAAGAGUGUGAGGUCCUUCCAACUAUUAGAUGUAAAAUCUGUGACUCUUUUUACCCAAACACAAAAGACUAUUUUCAACAUAUAAAUUCCCAUUUGAAAAGCCAUGAAACCAUAGUGUGUUUUUGAUGGUUGUGAGUUUAAGACAAACAUUUGUGGGACUUAUGCGACUCACAGAAGUCGAAAGCACAGAUUUUGUUCAUGGAAGCACUUUAAAACUAACUUGAUUUCAAAGCAAACUGUCAGUACAUCUAAUGAAAUCUUCUUACCAGCACUGGAAUUAGAAGAUCACGAGGACUUGGAUGUCACCAUUGAACUUGGUUGUGAAAGGGAAACAACAAAUGAAAUUUUGAAAAAUAUUGGUGUGCUCUUGUUAAAACUGGAAAGCAUCUAUAAUGUUUCUGGUAAAUGUGUGGAUGACUUGGUGGAACAGCUCAAUUAUAUUUGCACAUUAUCACUUCAGUAUAUUCCAAAGUCAAUAAGUGAUAUUCUUAUUAAGAAUAACUGUAAUAUUGAUCAGUCUUUUGUCAGUGAAUUGGCUGAAAAAAUAUGUCACUGUAGUCCUUUAUGUGCAGCCCUUAGUCCCGAUGGUCCCUUUGCUUCAAGAUAUAAGAGACAGAAAUAUUUCAAGGAAAACUUCUGUGUUAUUGAACCAGUAGAAUACUGUUUGGAUCCAGAAAAGAAUUCCACUUUUCAGUAUGUGCCUAUUCUUCAGUCCUUGCAGCUGUUACUGAGUAAAGAAGAUAUUAACAGUAUAUUAACUAGACAUUUGAACACUUCACAGUUAUCCUCUUUCCACAAUGGACAAUAUUUCAAGCAAAACCAACUUUGUGCUAUUGAGGACUUAAGUAUUUCCCUUGUUCUCUAUGUGGAUGACUUUGAAAUUUGGAAAAUAAUACUUUAUGUUAAGGCUUUAGUCUGCAUACUGAACAACUCCACUUAUAUGGAUUUAUGUCUGGAUGAGUAAAUUAAUCCUUUGCAUGUUAGAAAAUAAGGUCCAGGUUGCAAAAAAUGGUAGUUCCACUUAAAGAUUUUUUUUUUUGAUUGAAUCAGAAUUUUGGCCUUCAGAUUUUUUGUCCUUUGUUUUUUGUCCUCUCCC